CAAAACGUAGCUUAAAUUAAAGCAUCUGGCUUACACCCAGAAGACCUCAUGAAAAUGAUCGUUUUGA
rnacentral:tRNA from 3 species